AAUAGAACCAUCUGGCCCGGAGGUCAGUGUUAGUGCAACCCUGUCGUCCACGGAACGGAGCAUCCUGCCAGCUCCCGUGUCCAUGUGGGGCGUUGAGUUGCUGUGUCUCCUGUCUCGCUGCGUCGUUCUUGGGUUCUUGGUUCCUGGUCUUUUCCCGUCUUCGCAGUGCUGGCGGGUCUGCAGAGGUCUGUCGCCCUGUCCUUCUCCAGCACGUCCAGUGCUGCCUCCCUCCCAGACCGGAGCUGGGAUUUCGCAGAAAGACCGCCUCACUGAUCUCUUCUGGGUACUUCUCAUCAGGAGGCACGCGCCGUCACCGCAUUCACCGGAUCCCAUCCCUGCCGGUGUUGGCCUUGAUCACUCUUCGUAGUUGAUGGGGAGGACGCGGGAAGAUGCGCGGGGCUGUGCUGAGACUUUGUUCCUCAUCAGACCUUCCUGUCCGUCGAUGCCGCCCACCUCCAUCGGCCACUGCAGUGGUUGCCAGAGGAUUUUUUUACUUCGUCAUUCCUUCCUCAUUUAUUUCAGGCACUGCCUACAGCCUGUGAGGAAGAAAGUUCCUUCUCUCCUAUCUAUUUAUUUUAUUUCUAUUACCAUCGUAAUUUAGUCUGAUGUUCACAUUGCCCAAGAAAUUUUAUGUUCGUUUCAGGGGUCUAACAUAGUUAUUUGAUAAUCAAAUACAUUAUGAAAUAAUCACAACAGUAAGUUUAGUAACAAAGUGACUACAGUAUUGUUGGCUGUCUGUUAUAUCCCUGUGACUUUCUGACAUACAUACAUUUCUCUGGGGUCAUGUUACAUAUUUAUGCUAGAAUGAACUAGUCCUUCAAAGCGCGUUGGUUUUCUUUUAAUGAAAGAUGGAAUUGAGAAACCAAGACGUAGGCAGGCACUUGGAACACUCGUUGCUUUCAGGAAUCUAGAUUUCUAGGGAGUUGUGGUUGGAAAUAAUUUUGGGAUUCAUCAUGGUAAAGACGGCAUUUAAAGUGAGAUCGAGCCAGCUUGGUUGUUUUUCCCACAAACCGUGUUCAGCUGUUUGUGUGCAGGCGAGGUGGAGCUAGAGCAUUGGGUUUAAUUUGUAUUGGGGUUUUCUGGGUGUCUGUGAUAGAGGGAGAGAAGACAGGAAGCUUAGGGGUGCUUAGAAGGGCAUGCUCGUAGAGAUGGGUCCUGGGCUUUAAAGGCCUCCAGAAACGAUGACAGCGAAGGACUAGAGAUCCGCACGAAAGUUGGCUCCUCUUGAGGGCACGCUGAACGAUGACAGGAAGCGUGCUGGUGUCUCAGUGCUAACGUUUUCAUUACUGAGGGGCAGGGGUGACCAGGGGGUGAGAAGCUGGUUUUCGCAAGAAUCUGGGGGAAUGGUCUAGUAAGCAGAAUAACGGCCCCUGCAAAUACCCACACCCUUAUGCCUGGGACCUGUGUAUAUGUCACCUUAUGUGAGCGACCUUGCAGGUGUGAUGACAUUAAGGUUCUGGAGAUAGGAGAUGGUUCUGGAUUAUCUGGCUGGGCUGAGUGCCAACACAAAGGCCCCCGUGUGAAGGGGGCCGGGGGUUAGAGUUGGAGAAAGAGAUGCGAUGGUGGAGGCGGAGUCAGGGAGCCUGAGGAGGGAGGCUGCUGGUUCUGAAGACCACCAGCCAAGGCGUCCAGAGGCCUCCGGGAGCUGGGAAAGGUGAGGACAUAGACAGUAUGCAGGCCUGCCAACAGUUUGGUCUUAGCCCGGUGGAACCCGUUUUGGACUUCAGACUUCCAUGAUGGUGAGAUAAUAAAUGUGUGUUGUUUUAAGCCACUGAUUCUGUGUUAAGUUUUAUAACAGUCAUAGGAAGAUAAUACCCAUGAUUUAAGGCUGAUUCUUUACAUUUGCAGAAGGUUUGAGUGAGGAAAAAGAUCUAGAACCAGCCAUGCAGGUCAAUGGCAUAUGGGGUGUGGAGGAAAGUAGCUGCCACUUAGAGGGGACUUCAGGGCACAGCCUGGUUUCGGUUAACGAGGUGAUAGGGCUUUUUAGAGAAGAAAUUGAGGAUGUCCAGGUGUGGCAGGUGGUGAAUUCCAGAGGUCAGGGCAGGUGGAAUUUGAAUCCUUUUACUGCAUGGAGAGAGUUUUAUGGGGUUAAGAAGUCACAUUCAGGUAACUCGAGUGCUUGAAGGCCAUUUGUGCACAGACGUUUGCAACAAAACAAGCACACCAGCAAAACUGGUGAUUUAGGGCUUGACGGCAUUGCUGCAGAAAGAUGUGGGUGAUGGUGCCCAGUGUGACCCGGCGUCGGGACAGACCUGAUGGUGGGCACCGCAUCCAGGCCCAGGGCCGCGGCAGGCAGAGCUCCUGGUCGCACCUCUCUCACCUGGGAGCGAGAGGCACACUGACGGUUAUAGAGAUGCACCAAGGUGCUCUUCCAUCCCCAGCCACACGGCACUGGUGUCACCACCAGGGUUGAAGACCAAACAUACAAAUUCAUUAAAGAUUAUCUUUGUUUUCUACCCGAAUUUAAAAGAAGCCUGAUGGAGAUGACAGUAAUGUAUAAAGAAGAAAAAAUUACUUGCUUAAAUAAUCAGCGUUCCAUUUUGGUCUCCUUCUUUGCUGCUUUCAUUAGAUGUAAUUUUACACAGAUUAAAUCAUGCUAUAUAUACGAUUCACUGUCCUGCUUCUGAAACGUAGUGUACCUCAUAGCCAUUUUCUCUUCUUUAAGCAUUAUUUGCGCACAGCUCUUUCAUGUCGAGAAAUAGUUUUCUCUCAUGUAAAUGUCAUAAUUCAACAGUAUAUAGGUUCAGAGUUUUCAGUUUUCACUACUGUAUGAUGAACACCUUUGUGGAUAGAAUUCUAUACUUGAGUGUUCCUUGGGAUAGAGUUCGAAGAAUGUAGUAGCUAGGCAAAAGAGUAAGCACCUUUAAAGACUCUCUUGGGAAUUACAUUCCCAAACCUAGCACCAGUUUACACCGACACGAGUGACUUGUAUGGAAGUACCAAUUAUAUCAACCCAAAAUGGCAAUGAGUUUAUUUGCAUGCCGUUAAAAAUAAUAGUAGUCUUAGAAUGACCCAUUUCAACUUGCCUACAAGCAGGAAUUAGGUAUUUCUUUGCAAGAUCAUUUUCUGUGCCAACCUGCUUGGCACAGGUGUUCUUCACCCUCCUGCUUAAACACUUGCAGUGAAAGCUCACGGAUUUUGUUUCUCUUAAGGUUAUUAAAUGCUUAUUAAAAUUUUAGUCCUUUUCAAAUUGCGAAAGAAAAUUUGUCUUUUACCAUGUUAUUGACAUACCUGAUGGCCAAUAGAAGACAUCUACUAAUAACUAGUUGUUAGAAUGACUUAAACCAUAAGAGAAAUAAGGAAACCAAGUCAGAAAAAAUGAGGAGGGGCUAGAUAGAACUUGAAGAGUCACUCUUGUGUUUAAUGGAACGUGGAUGGAUAGAAGGAACAAUAGAGGGAAGCCAGUAUUCCUGCUGCUGAUCUGGGGUGUUGUCGACAGCGUAUUACCUACUUUCAAAUAGAUAAGCAUUCACGGCAAGUCACUAUUUCCUGAAUAUGCAGUUAGCUUGUGUGCAUGAGUGAGAGAAACGUAAGCUGUGGUUCCAGAAUUCAUCCGUGAAGUAUCAGCAUUCAUUUACUUCGCGAGGAGUGCUAGUGAGUCUUUGAAAUUACAGCCAUGAACAAAUUUGUUUGAUAACGUAUUUUUUCUAUGGUUGCAUCGUGACAUAUGGAAGUUACCAGGCUACAGGUCCAAUUGGAGCUAGUAAUUCUUUCAAAAAAUAUGCCGUUGAAGUUCCCCUUGUGGCUCAGCAGGUUAAGAAUCUGGCCAGUGUUCACGAGGAUGUGGGUUCAAUCCCUGGCCUCGAUCAGUGGGUUAAAGGAUUGGGCGUUGCCUUUAACUGUGGUGUAGGUCACAGACAGGGCUCAGAUCUGGUGUUGCUAUGGCUGUGGUGUAGGCUGGCAGCUGCAGCUCUGAUUCGACCCCUAGCCUGAGAAUUUCCAUAUGCCACAGGUAAGGCCCUAAAAAAUGAAAGAUAAAAAUAAAACUUCUCAAAGAAAAAUCCUUAUUGUAUAUAGUUCAUUGUCUCCGUUGAGUUUUCAUUGGUUUGAGGUUUCAUUGGUAUGGCCAGCGUUUGGAAUUAUGCUGGUAGAAUGUCUUUUUUAUGUACCAGUGAAUGAUUGAUUCAUUUAAGAGUCUAACAAGAUUUGACUAAUGUGAACUCCACUCUGAAUAUUGGAUCUGUUCCUGAUUGUCAGACAACCCACAUGCUUUUCAGGUGAUAUUAAAUGUGCAUCUUCCGAUAAGCCACAUUUUUACUUGGAUAAUUCUGGGGCCCAUUUUGGAGUGGUCUUAAUUCAUUCCAGUUGUUAGUGCUCUGUGUAAGCCUUUUAUUUACCCUUAAUUUGCAUUGAAAUGUUCAUGAUUAUUUUGACUUAAGUUCCUUUAAGGGUACUGAAAAAUGGGACAAAGAGUUUAUCUUUAUUUGAAUAAUGGGUACUUGGAAGGCUAAAAUUGAGGAUAAAUAUAACUUUUACUUUCCUAAAAUUAAAGAUGAGUUUACUGACAGUUGGAGCGUUAAUUUGUCUUUUGGAUUUUUUUCAUAGAGACUCAAGUUUCCUUAGCCUUGUUAGGAAUGUAGGUUGGUUCGAACAUACUUAAUGUGCAAGUAAUUAAAUUUAUGUUGUUAUCUAUGUCUCAGAUAGUCAAAUAUAGGUGAUUUUAAUAUAGUCGAAAUUAUUUGGAUCAUCCAGACUCUUUUCUUCAUGUUAGUUUAGGUAAUUGCAUUAUUUAUUUUGAAGAUUCCAUUUGUACUGGAUACUGACGUGUAGAAGCGAAAUAUGGCAGAGUGUAUUCUUGAAAAACAUGAUUUUGGUUUAAAAUAGACAAGAAAUUCCCAGGAAAUACUUUGCAGUUCAGGUAAAAUAAGCUGUCUAGAAAUUAAGUAGGCUUUUGUUUUAAACUUGAUUCAUUUAUUUGUACUAAAGUAGCCCAUUCGGUAACACACCAUUUAUCUGGUCAUUUUCCAGAAUAAGAUGGAAUUUUCCAGGUAACUGAUCAUAAAUUAGUUUUCCAGGUAACUGAAUCUUACACCUUCAAGAACUAAAAUCUUUUAAAUUUAACCAUUUUUGAUGGAAAUCUUUAAAAAUAUGUUAUACACUUUCUACAUUCUUACUUUCCUAUGUUUUCUUAAUCAGAGGAAACUCAGUAUAAUUUAAUCUUCUUCUGAUGACUCAGAACCAUUAU
rnacentral:lncRNA from 1 species